UACGGAGGGGGCUAGCGUUGUUCGGAAUUACUGGGCGUAAAGCGCGCGUAGGCGGACCUGCAAGUCGGGGGUGAAAGCCCGAGGCUUAACCUCGGAACUGCCUUCGAUACUGCGGGUCUCGAGUCCGGGAGAGGUGAGUGGAAUUCCUAGUGUAGAGGUGAAAUUCGUAGAUAUUAGGAAGAACACCAGUGGCGAAGGCGGCUCACUGGCCCGGUACUGACGCUGAGGCGCGAAAGCGUGUUUAGCAAACAGG
rnacentral:rRNA from 1 species